GAGGGUAUACCUCAGUGGUAGAGUGUGUGCCUAGCACGCACAAGGUCCCUGGUUUAAUCCUCAGUACCUCCA
rnacentral:tRNA from 1 species